rnacentral:rRNA from 1 species
UACGUAGGGUGCGAGCGUUAAUCGGAAUUACUGGGCGUAAAGUGGGCGCAGGCGGUCGAGCAAGUCGAGUGUGAAAGCCCCGAGCUUAACUUGGGAACUGCGCUCGAAACUACUUGGCUAGAGUGUGGCAGAGGGAGGUGGAAUUCCACGUGUAGCGGUGAAAUGCGUAGAGAUGUGGAGGAACACCGAUGGCGAAGGCAGCCUCCUGGGCCAACACUGACGCUCAUGCACGAAAGCGUGGGGAGCAAACAGG